rnacentral:rRNA from 1 species
GACGAACGCUGGCGGCGUGCUUAACACAUGCAAGUCGAGCGGUAAGGCCCUUCCGGGGGUACACGAGCGGCGAACGGGUGAGUAACACGUGGGUGACCUGCCCUCAGCUCUGGGAUAAGCCCGGGAAACUGGGUCUAAUACCGGAUAUGACUCCAUGACGCAUGUUGUGGGGUGGAAAGCCUUGUGCGGCUGAGGAUGGGCCCGCGGCCUAUCAGCUUGUUGGUGGGGUGAUGGCCACCAAGGCGACGACGGGUAGCCGGCCUGAGAGGGCGACCGGCCACACUGGGACUGAGAUACGGCCCAGACUCCUACGGGAGGCAGCAGUGGGGAAUCUUGCGCAAUGGGCGAAAGCCUGACGCAGCGACGCCGCGUGAGGGAUGACGGCCUGGU